CUAUAAAGAGAGAACACAGAGGAAGAGGAAGAGAGUCGAAGGAACACACAACAGCUAACCACCGUGGCUCGUCGUUGACUAAUCACUGAAACGUUAUCUUUAACAUUUUCUUCGUUUCUUUCCAUUAAAAGGCUCACAAGGAAGAAGGCGACGACGACGACGACGACGACGACGAUCACUAGCGCAACUGUAACGAGAAUAUCGAUGUAGCUGCGAAGCACCCACUCGCAUCGGCCAGUGGAUUAAGAAAACCGUGGCGCACGCGAUUAAACGCGCUGUACAAGGAAGUAUAAUAAUUGCGGUGUUUCAGAAAAUUGCUGCAAAAUUCCAAGUGGCAUUCCUCGAAAGAAAGAAGAAGCCUUCGAUAAACGUGGAUUCGAAUAUCGGUAGUUUGAGAUUUAUAAGACGUUCUCAAGUUAUACGACAAGGAAACAACUAUUGGUCAUGCACGAUUCUCUCCACGGGUGACAUGGCUGGCAAUUCUUCAUUCGAAUGCCAUUCUUCGACAGCUUAUGUCCGGAUGUUUGUAAAUUUCUUGCGCAACUCUGCUAGAGGAAGGUUCACUGUGCUAGAUUCCAACUUCCGGCGAAGAUGGUACGGUGAGUGUAAAAAGGAUUCGCACAGCGGCCAAUUUUGACAACAAACUUUGUCGAAGUUUAAAACGCUUGAAACAACAAAAGACGUGUACAUAUCUAUGGAAAUCUUCAGAAUGAACUUGCUAAAUGUUGAGGUUAUUAGAUGCAUAAAGAGAGAAAACGCGUGGAUAAAGUGUAAGCUAGAAAAUAUAUUUUUAAUGGUGAAGUGUAAUAAUAAGUAGGAAUACAAUUUGAGCUGGUCCAGAUCCGCACGCUAGCAGGGUUACCUUAUAACCGAAAAACCCCGAAGCCAACGUCGCCUGUCUAUUGUUUAUGGUCUGCCUUCGUGUCAGUCUUU
rnacentral:misc_RNA from 1 species